GAGCCGGCGAGCUCCGGGGAGCCGCCACGCCGCACCCGGCCGGCCGCACCGGCCCUGGGCGCGUCCCCGUCCCGCGCGGGCCCCGCCGGAGCUCGGCUCUGCAGCGGGGACGCAGACGAUCGCGCGGUCCUCCUCCCGCGCGCACACGCGUGGCUCUGCGUCCCCCUUCACUAGUUCCCAGACACAGCCGCCGCCGCCCGGGUUAACUCACUUGUGCCCUUGCACAUGGAAAUCAAGGUCAAGUCCCUUCCCAGUCUCUGGCGCAGGCGAGAGCCUGCGUUUUGUGCCUCCCAAAGCUCUGUUCUGAUGCGUCAUUAACCUGCUAAUUAAAUGUCAAGCCUUUUGGAAAAAUUCGGGUUUGAAGGUCUGCAGCUUAAAGAGUCCUUUUAAGCCUGAGCUGUUUACUCCCCUAAACUCUGAAACGUAUUUCAUCACACUUUUUUUUUUUUUCACAAAUCGACGUUUUUGCUCUAACAGUGAUCUGAGGCUUGGACUACACUGUCAACAAGUAAAAACUUGUCGUGUGGCCGGCCGGCCGUUGCUGCUAGGAAAGAAGCCAGUCGAUUUAAAGGAAAAGCAACGCAUCUUGGACCAGAUCCCAAGCAAAGUCCAGGGAGCACGUUCAGAAACCUUCAUCUGGAGUCUUGUCCCACCGGGGUGA
rnacentral:lncRNA from 1 species